ACUAAAUCUUUUCUUGACAUCGCGUAUAUUUGAAUGAUAAUAAUAGAGUUAGGGGCCUUUCUGUGCUGUUCGGGGGAAGACGGCUCAAGCAGCAAGAACAUUUCCAAAAUAAAAUGUUGUAUAAAUGAAAUCAAACCUGGAUCUCUUACUAGAGCAUUUAUAUUUUAUUAAUAUAAUUAUAAAUUGAACAAUUAAAAAAAAUCCCCUGUGGUUACAAAAUAAAUAAUGGAAGUAAUAAUAAAGCCGCCUGCACUGUACUGCACUGCUGUUUAACUUAAAAAGGGCAGGAAAUGUAAGUCACAGUGUAUUUAAGUAGAGCACUAGGUGACAUAUUGCAAAGGCAUAAUUAAAUCAUACAGCAUGGUGGAUCUGAAGUUAAUUCCCCGACUGCAGUUGCUACUAUGGUUGGCAAACAGACAUGAGAUGGACCAUGCAAUCACUGUAUCUAUAUUCUACCUGCAUAUACAACAUUAAGCCCUUAUUAGCCACAUAUCCCAAAUUAAACUGGUCAGUUGCAGAGAGCACCGACAGAGCUCUUUACUAUCAAUGUGGUUGAAGACAGACGGUUUGUUACAUUGUACUUGGCUUUACCUGUUUUCCCAGUCUCAAAAAUGAAUUCCUUAAUUACUGGUCUAUAAACUUAAACAUACACUAGUAGUGAGGUCUCCCCCAUAUCUGGUAGAAAAGCAAAUAGGGAAUCUUUCCUCUUCCUAACCAACUGGAAAUUGUGUUGCACACCGUUGGCAUUUUGGUCAAUUUGUAUAAAAAACAAGCAAUAAGGAACAUGUUCAAAGUAAAAUAUCUCUUAGGUCUUGAAAGUUACUAAGAUCUGCGUUUUUCAAGAGGCACUUGCAGGAAGCAACUUAAAUUAGGAAUGUUGCUCUCCCUUAUUGUCCGAACCUGACACUUCUCUAGACUUUCUCUGGCCAUAAAUAACACGGCCAUUUAUUGUAACUUGGAAAGUAGAUGCAAAUUACCCAUAGACAGCCAGCUCUAAAAUCAUCUUUUGACUACUGCUCUGAACAGGAAUGUCCUGAGAAGGUUUCACAUACUAUUACACAAAUAUAUAUUUGUAACUAAAUAACUGUGCUUUUGUGAGACAAGAAUCGACUGGGAUUGUCAUGUAAGUGGAUCUUGUUAGCAGUGGAUCUUGAAGCCUCCUGAAAAAAUCGCCUCUAAUGAUCUCCAAGAUGUCCAGCAAUUGUCUCCUACCUGCAUCAGGUCCCAUCCUUCUACACAACACAGGGCUCCUGCACAGCAGCUAACAUUUGCUUUGAAAAUAUGAAGACUCCCUCUCCAUCUGGGCUCCCCUGUGCAUUUUAUUGCAACUUGCCUUGCUUGGAUUAUUCAUGUACAUGAUGAGGUAUAAAAUGCUACUGUCAUGUUGUAAGGAAUGCUUACUCAUUCUCUUCUCUACCUUCCUCUAUAAAUAUCCCAGGCAGCUUUUCUAUUUCCUUUGCAAAUCUGCCUUAUAUUGCUAUAUUUGCCACUAAUAAAAAGGAGCUGCAAUCAGGCCAGGCGAGUUUAAAAAGAAACACAGGGGAGAGGGUGGGAGGAAACUAUCAUCUUGGGCAGUUAAAAAAAAAAAUCCAAGACGGUCUUGAAGUCCCAGGCCUGGAGGAAUAAAAGGAAAGCCAUUCAAGUGAAGAGCUUUUUUUCCUCCCCACUUUUAUGAGUUUACACUGGGACGCUCUAAAAUUUCGGACGGGGUGGGGAGGGAGAAGAGUCACCUCAGUACAAUAUCCUGUUAAUAGGAGCUCCAGCACCCUUUGUCCCCGGAUUUCCAAAGGACUGGAAGUGGUCUGGUUUAUCCAUCAUGAGCUGGGAGACUGAAGGAAGCAGACGCAUUCACGCCAUACUUGACAGACAGACAAAUGCGGUCUCCAACCAUCCAUUUUGUGGCUUGACUGUGCUCAUGGUUUGGUUCAAUAAACACCGUCAAGUUCGGUAUAAAAGAAAAAAAUAAAGCCCCAAUGUGCUGUAUUUUAACAUUAUGUAAUUUGGGGGCAGUUAUAUAUAUGCAUUACAUUUCCCAAUCAGAUUUACAUUUUCUGGACUUAUAAUUUUCGCUGAACCCUACAAGGUAAAUAAACAACUACUUAAAUA